rnacentral:rRNA from 1 species
UACGUGAAACCGUUGAAAGGGAAGCGAAUGGAGUUAGCAAUUCGCCCUGCCAGAUUCAGUAGCUCGCGCUCCGUGACGGGCGUGCGCUCUCGAUCCACAUGGACGAGUCGUGUGCGGGUGCGGCGCGCCACAUGGGCAUUUCUGGCGGGCAACCGUCCACGUCGGUUGCCGACGUG